GAAUUUUGGACAAUGGGCGAAAGCCUGAUCCAGCAAUGCCGCGUGCAGGAUGAAGGCCUUCGGUUUGUAAACUCUUUUUGUCCGGAACGAAAACCUUUGGCUAAAUCCCCUGACGUCAUGCCGCUACCGUCGGCAUACGCACCGGCUAACUACCGUCACGAAGCCGCGGUCAUACGUAGGCUGCAAGCGUUACUCGGAAUUCCUGGGCGUAAAGCGUGCGCAGGCGUUUUUGGAAGACAGAGGUGAAAUCCCCGGGCUCAACCUGGGAACUGCCUUUGUGACUGCAAGGCUAGAGUACGGCAGAGGGGGGUGGAAUUCCGCGUGUAGCAGUGAAAUGCGUAGAUAUGCGGAGGAACACCGAUGGCGAAGGCAACCCCCUGGGCCUGUACUGACGCUCAUGCACGAAAGCGUGGGGAGCAAACA
rnacentral:rRNA from 1 species